CUUUUUUUUUUUUUUUCAUAAUUAUUUGCUCUCACUGCUUUUACUUUGUUAGUCUCUUCAUUUAAUGCUUGAAUUUAAGACCCUUGCCUACAAAAUUAGGUGUGCACUGCAUAUAUAUAUAUAUAUAGGGAGAGAUAGAGAGGAAGGAGGGAGGACGUUUGGAUCAAUUUAGGGCUUUCUGCUAGAGUAGUUUCCUUUCCUUGGGGAAAAAUAAGAAAAAGGAAAAAAAAUGGCUGUUUUAAGUUUUAACCUUCAAAGUCUCAACGACCUCUCAGGGCAUUAAUGGCGCUGCAUUUGAUAGUGAGAGAGACAAUGGUGCAAUUUCAAGAAACAGACUGGCCUUCAUAAUUGCUUCC
rnacentral:misc_RNA from 1 species